rnacentral:misc_RNA from 1 species
UCGCGGCUUAUCACCGGCAGUCCCCUUAGAGUGCCCAACUGAAUGAUGGCAACUAAGGGCGAGGGUUGCGCUCGUUGCGGGACUUAACCCAACAUCUCACGACAUGAGCUGACGACAGCCAUGCAGCACCUGUCUCCGGUCCAGCCGAACUGAAAGGAUCCAUCUCUGGUUCCCGCGACCGGGAUGUCAAGGGCUGGUAAGGUUCUGCGCGUUGCUUCGAAUUGAACCACAUGCUCCACCGCUUGUGCGGGCCCCCGUCAAUUCCUUUGAGUUUUAAUCUUGCGACCGUACUCCCCAGGCGGGAUGCUUAAUGCGUUAGCUGCGCCACUGACAAGUAAACUAGAAUGUUGGGAGAC